CUCUCGCAUCGAUGAAGAACGCAGCGAAAUGCGAUAAGUAAUGUGAAUUGCAGAAUUCAGUGAAUCAUCGAAUCUUUGAACGCACCUUGCACCCUUUGGUAUUCCGAAGGGUAUGCUCGUUUGAGUGUCAUUGUACUCUCACACUCUCUGAUGCUUGCAUUAGGAGUGGUGGACUUGGGUGUUGCCGCUUCACGGUGGCUCACCUCAAAUGCAGUAGUGCACCUCCUGGUUGGACAUAGUACGGCGUGAUAAGUGUCUUCGCCGGCGCCUCGAAAGAGGGUGGCCGAUUGGGAGCUCUGGGCUUCUAACUGUCUUAGGACACUCUCUGACAACUUGACCUCAAAUCGAGUAGGACUACCCGCUGAACUUAAGCAUAUCAAUAAGCGGAGGAAAAGAAACU
rnacentral:rRNA from 1 species